CCACUUACCUGGCAGGGGAGAUACCAUGAUCACAAAGGUGGUUUUCCCAAGGUGAGGCUUAUCUGUUGCACUCCAGAUAGGCUGACCCCUGCGAUUUCCCCAAGUGUGGGAAACUCAACUGCAUAGUUUUUGGUAAUGGGGGAACUGUAUUUGCAUAAUCCCUUG
rnacentral:snRNA from 1 species